rnacentral:rRNA from 1 species
CCCUUAGAUGUUCUGGGCCGCACGCGCGCUACACUGAUGCAUUCAACGAGUUAUUCUUUGACCUUGGUCGAAAGAUCUGGGUAAUCUUUUGAAAUUGCAUCGUGAUGGGGCUUGCGGGUUGCAAUUACCCGCACCAACGAGGAAUUCCUAGUAAGUGCAAGUCAUCAGCUUGCGCUGAUUACGUCCCUGCCCUUUGUACACACCGCCCGUCGCUACUACCGAUUGAAUGGUUUAGUGAGAUCUCUGGAUUGACGCUGGCUAGGGGGCGACCCUUGGCCAGACUGUUGAGAAACUGCUCAAACUUGAUCAUUUAGAGGAAGUAAAAGUCGUAACA